rnacentral:rRNA from 1 species
AGUUUUUAACUCAAGUGGCGGACGGGUGAGUAACACGUAAGAAUUUGCCUUUAGGAGGGGGAUAACAACUGGAAACGGUUGCUAAUACCCCAUAUGCUUUCGAGUAAAAUGGAUUUAUCCGCCUAAAGAGAAGCUUGCGGCUGAUUAGCUUGUUGGUGAGGUAAUGGCUUACCAAGGCGACGAUCAGUAUCUGGUUUGAGAGGACGAUCAGACACACUGGAACUGAGACACGGUCCAG